ensembl:lncRNA
CAACCUCCACAGCACAGCAGCCGGAGAGCGUCACCGCGGAGCAGCCGGAGAGCCUCACCAAGCAGUCUGAAACUGUAUUUGUUCUCAAUCUUGUUCCUGUGUCUUUCUCACUCUCUCCAACCUCUCUCUCCUCCUUCCUCUGCUACUUCUACAACUGUUCUUCCUUCACUUUCUUCCCCUCCUCCACCUCCACUGCGGCAGAGGAAAAGAAGGUUAAACACCUUUACCGCGUCACACUCUACCACCCCUGUCUCUCCUCCAUAUCCAUCUGCCUCUUCCAUUUCCAAGCCUUUGAGUCAGGAGGUGCCACUGGUUAAGAACAGAAGAAAAGGUUGUCGAAAAUGUAGUAGGCAGAAGGUUUUCCUUUUUGAUAAAAUAACUGGGGAACGAAUAAAUGAGGGGAAAGCUGAAUUGAAAGUUCACUGGUUGCCUUGCACUGAGUGUGGCAAAACCUGGGAUGACACGUGGGAGCCUGCGAGUGAAUUCCAACACAUUGUGCCAAAGCAUUGUCCCAACCAGCUUUCAGCAUGACAACAGUCACCAUAAACACCUGGACUCAUCAAGCACCCUUCAAUGCAGUUUAUUUUUGAGUGUUUUUGCUUGCUGUUCUUCAGUAAAGUUUUUGCACAGUACCCAGUCUCUUUUAGUGUUUAGUUUCUUACAGUUGUCAUCUUAAAAACUUUUUGCAUUUGUCUUGAACUGCUUAACAGUGUGCCUUGUGAGAUCAUAAGUUUGUUGUCCAUGAGCAUAAGCUCAUAAAUACCAAAAAAUAUUCAAAGCUACUAAAUUGUCACUCAAAUUUUGUAGUCAUGUUUGAUUACAAUAUUAGAUAUGAAUUACUUUUUUAUAAUUGUAAUUACCGAUUUAUGUUUUCCUUGCAUUUAGUUUAGUUUUUUUUUUUUUGGCUUCUUUAAAGGGAAGAAAAUAUGUUUCCUGAUGGCAGACUUGCAUCUCCUGGUUUGUAACAAAAAAGAGAGAGAAAGGCUUUAAAAAGUUUUUUAAUUAAAGCCUGUUGGUUCACAUAUCUGCAAAUGUUACAUAAGUAUUUUAUGUUUAAUAGAUUAACUUACCUCUGUUAAAAAUUACUGCAUGCUAGAAUAACUAUCACAGUAAUUUUCAUUUUGUAAUAAAAAAGAAAUAUUUUGAUAUAUUGUAUUAUUUAUUUCACAUACAGUGUACAGCUGCAACAGUUAAUAUUAGUUGCCCUCUGCUUCAUGCCAUGGAAACCAAUUGGCCUUGGAAAAAAUGUUUCACUGUAAUCUGUUUCAGUGAAUUUUAUAUUUAUAUAUAAAAUUAUAUAAGAAAACUAUUUUUAAUAUUCUACUACAUAGUAAAGAAACAAAAGGGCCCUGUAGACCUGCCAAUCACAUCUAAUUCCAUGAUGCCCGCAAGUCAACUCGACGAGAAAGACUAGAAGGGAAUGGGAUACAGCUACGGCAACUGGACAUGCGCACAUCAAUAUUGCGUCAUUUAAUAUUUAAUUAAUUAAAUAACUGUAUUUGCAGUAUUGUAAUGGUACGUUUAGGGUUGGGGGUAGGGGUAGGUGUUAAUAAAACACAAUUUGAUAAGUAACAAGUUUAAUUCACCGUUAUUUACCCUGAAACUUUGUAUCACUUCCGGCCGUAGCUGUACUGUAAUUACCAUAUAUAGACAAGUGUGACGUGACACAGCUCUAACAGGACACGCUGUGAUUGGAGUAACUUUAAGGCCAAAAUAAAAAGCGAAUAAUGUUUCAAACUAUGUUUUGAUGUCUUUAUUACGUAAGUAAUACUGUAAUUUAUCAAUGAGGUAUUGCUAUGUUAAAAGAAAUGACCCGUUUACAGAGAUCCUAACCCUAACCCUAGUGUAAUUUCAAUGAACUACAAUUUAGUGAUCCAUUGUUUUCUGUUCCAUUGAUAGAAUUACAGAGGCAUAUGGGUAAUGCAGUUUAAAAACAUUUAGAAAUUAAAUUAAAUAAAUACAAUCUUUAAUGAGCAAAGGGGCAUCUAAAUAUGUUCUUUGUACAAACCUCUAUGACAUAUUUGAGAGUCAGAAUGAAAUUUGGUAUUGUACUGUGAGCACUUUUUAAAAUGCUUUUAUAACGCCUUUCCAUGCAUGUCAGAAAUCUCUGUUCAACAUCAUUUAGUAAACAUAGCAUAAAUAGUUGUCCUACCAAUUUUUUCUUUGAUAUGCUAUCCAGACUUUGAGCUACAGCCAUUUGAAAUGUGCAUUUUUUUUUGCUCUUCCAGGGGCCGCUACCGGGUCCCUGCACUCUAAAAAAUACUGGAUUAAAUACUACCCAGCACUUGGUAAAAUAUGGACAAACCCAGCAACUGGGUUGUUUUGACCCAGCAGUUGGGUUACUGCCCAGAAGGUUAGGUUAAACAUUUAACCCAGCUGUCAAUUGAAAACAACCCAAUUGCUGGGUUUGUCCAUAUUUUACUCAGUGCUGGGUUGUAUUUAACACAGCAUUUUUUAGAGUGUGGGGGAGGUAAGACAGUAAAACUUACACAGAUAUGCUCUCCUCAUCAUGAACAACAAACUGUUGAUUCAUAUUUAUAUAUGCUGCAUCUUAUUAUAUUGUUUUCUUUUCCCCAUUUUCUAUAUUUACAUCCUGCUUGUGUUAUGUUUUGCUGAUAUUGUGAGACUCUGAAUACAGUAACAUAGGCACAGGAUGGUGCACAAUAAAAAGAAUCAGAGUAUAAAAGACAACCAAAGUUCAUCAUUGUCUCAAAUGCCAUUAAUAUGACUAAAAAUGUUUAUGUAAAAGAAGCAUGGUAAGUAAUUACAAAGUUGUUUUAUUUUUUACAAAAUCAUGAAAUUUAACAAACUCAUAAGAUGAUAUAGUGCAUUUUUUAUUUUCAAAACAAUUAACAUAAUUUAUUAUACAAUACACCAUGUAAAUCAUUUUAUUGUAGACUACAAAAUAGAAUAAAGAUACUUUAUAAAAUAGUAUAAAGACAAAUUGGAUUCAAUAGAAAUAAAAAGGGACUUCAAAAUUGCUAUCAUCAUGCUGUUUAUCAGGUCACAGCUGAUGAAGCUACACAAGUGGUGAAAUGUUUUGACCACAGAAUCAAAUCAGUUGACUCCAAUACUUUUACUAGAUGACACAUAAGCAGAUGUAAUAUUAUACUGGGAAAUAAUGAUUCCUCAUCAUAAUGGUUUUCUUCCUCAUAAUUUGCUUCUUCUAUGUCUCUAAAAAGGUUUCAGUUGUUAUAUAACACCCUACAUUUAAAGUACACUCUACACUUUCACAGCCGAAAGCUGUUUUCUAAUAUUUCAUUUUCCCCUGUGAAUCAUAUAACCUUAGAUUAUUAUUACUCAUGGAAGAUUAUUAUUAAUUAUUUUGUACACAACCUACACUAAUGAUUAUUUUCAUAAUAAAUUAAUCUGCUAUUUAUUUCUCAACAAAUGAAGAGUUUGGUUUGUGAGCAAGUAUGAAAAUGAGAAAUACAGACACAAUUACACACAACCCAAAAAAGAUAAGAUACAUUGAUAAAAGCUGUGAACAGUUCAAACCUCAAAUAAAAAAUACAUGCUGGAACCAUUAAAUGUUUUUGCAUGAAAAUUAUUUGGCAAUUCAUUUUCUGCCAAUCAACUAAUUGUACUGUUGAGAAGUUUCUUUUGCAACAAAAUGUCAUUUUAUAAGCUCUCCAUGUGCUGUCAAGUGCAUUUUUUCUCUCUCUGAAUUGCAGUGGAGUAUAAGUAAAAAUUUGGAUGAGAAGAAACAACUCAUACCUCAAAUCUCUAAGUAAUUAAUGCACUUAAUUUCCACCACAUACUGGUUCUAGAGGCAUGCAUGCACACAUUUCUAUGUAUGUGAAAGAAGAGGCAAUACUUUUGGUUCCAUUUAUAAAGGUGAUGAAAAGCAGAUUUUAUUACAUUCUUUAUAUCCAGAGUUAAGGUCAUUGUCCAGAACGAUGAAAUGUGUCACAGUCUUGUGGAUUACAGUCCGUCAUCAGACAUUU